GUGAGGAAUAUUGGUCAAUGGGCGCAAGCCUGAACCAGCCAUCCCGCGUGAAGGAUGAAUGUACUAUGUAUUGUAAACUUCUUUUCUGCAAAGAGAAAGGGCACUACGUGUAGUGUUUUGACGGUAUUGCAGGAAUAAGCAUCGGCUAACUCCGUGCCAGCAGCCGCGGUAAUACGGAGGAUGCGAGCGUUAUCCGGAUUCAUUGGGUUUAAAGGGUGCGUAGGCGGUUUUUUAAGUCAGUGGUGAAAUCCUGCGGCUCAACCGUAGAACUGCCAUUGAAACUGAAGAACUUGAAUAUAGUUGAGGUAGGCGGAAUGUGCAGUGUAGCGGUGAAAUGCUUAGAUAUUGCACAGAACACCGAUUGCGAAGGCAGCUUACCAAGCUAUUAUUGACGCUGAGGCACGAAAGCGUGGGGAUCGAACAGGAUUAGAUACCCGUGUAGUCC
rnacentral:rRNA from 1 species